CCUCUGUGAACUGUUGGCCCUCGGGCCGUUUUCNUAACAAACUUUUGUGUGAUUGAACGUGGAUGUAUCUUAACAGUGACAAAACUUUCAACAACGGAUCUCUUGGCUCUCGCAUCGAUGAAGAACGCAGCGAAAUGCGAUAAGUAAUGUGAAUUGCAGAAUUCAGUGAAUCAUCGAAUCUUUGAACGCACCUUGCGCCUUUUGGUAUUCCGAAAGGCAUGCCUGUUUGAGUGUCAUGAAAUCUCAAUCCCUUUGGGUCUCUUGACCUGGGGUGGACUUGGACCUGGGUGUCUGCCAUCUGUUGUUGGCUUGCCUCAAAUGACUUAGUGGGAUCAGCAUCCAUUGCCUGGACGUGAUAAGUUUCGUCUGGCACGGUGUGAGGCCCACUCAUAACCUGCCCCUUGUGGCGCUCUUUUGGACUCUGACCUCAAAUCAGGUAGGGCUACCCGCUGAACUUAAGCAUAUCAAUAAGCGGAGGAAAAGAAACUAACAAGGAUCCCCCUAGUAACGGCGAGUGAACAGGGAUGAGCUCAAAUUUGAAAUCUGGCGUGCUCCGUGCGUCCGAGUUGUAAUCUAUAGAGUCGUUUUCCGUGCCGGACCGUGUCCAAGUUCCUUGGA
rnacentral:rRNA from 1 species